rnacentral:tRNA from 1 species
GCCCGCCUAGCUCAACGGAUCAGAGCAGCGAUGUCCUACGUCGACGGUUGGGGGUUCGAUUCCCCCGGCGGGCA